UACAGAGGGUGCAAACGUUGUUCGGAAUUACUGGGCGUAAAGCGCGUGUAGGCGGCUCUGCAAGUCGGGUGUGAAAUCCCAUGGCUCAACCAUGGAAGUGCACUCGAUACUGCAGGGCUAGAGUGCGGAAGGGGCAACUGGAAUUCUCGGUGUAGCGGUGAAAUGCGUAGAUAUCGAGAGGAAAACCUGCGGCGAAGGCGGGUUGCUGGGCCGACACUGACGCUGAAAGCGCGAAAGCUAGGGGAGCGAACGGG
rnacentral:rRNA from 1 species